rnacentral:rRNA from 1 species
GACGAACGCUGGCGGCGUGCUUAACACAUGCAAGUCGAACGGUAAGGCCCUUCGGGGUACACGAGUGGCGAACGGGUGAGUAACACGUGGGUGAUCUGCCCUGCACUUCGGGAUAAGCCUGGGAAACUGGGUCUAAUACCGGAUAGGACCCUGGGAUGCAUGUCCUGGGGUGGAAAGCUUUUGCGGUGUGGGAUGGGCCCGCGGCCUAUCAGCUUGUUGGUGGGGUGAUGGCCUACCAAGGCGACGACGGGUAGCCGGCCUGAGAGGGUGACCGGCCACACUGGGACUGAGAUACGGCCCAGACUCCUACGGGAGGCAGCAGUGGGGAAUAUUGCACAAUGGGCGCAAGCCUGAUGCAGCGACGCCGCGUGAGGGAUGACGGCCUUCGGGUUGUAAACCUCUUUCAGCACAGACGAAGCGCAAGUGACGGUAUGUGCAGAAGAAGGACCUGCCAACUACGUGCCAGCCGCCGCAGUAA